CGUAAGUUUGAUGGCGACCGGCGCACGGGUGAGUAACACGUAUCCAACCUGCCGAUGACUCGGGGAUAGCCUUUCGAAAGAAAGAUUAAUACCCGAUGGCAUAGUUCUUCCGCAUGGUAGAACUAUUAAAGAAUUUCGGUCAUCGAUGGGGAUGCGUUCCAUUAGGUUGUUGGCGGGGUAACGGCCCACCAAGCCUUCGAUGGAUAGGGGUUCUGAGAGGAAGGUCCCCCACAUUGGAACUGAGACACGGUCCAAACUCCUACGGGAGGCAGCAUG
rnacentral:rRNA from 1 species